AAUAGAUUUGGGGAGGAAGAAGAGCCCCCAAACCCUUAACCUCCUUUAAUCCGCCAUAACUCUUCCGUCCGGGCUCCAAUUGCCACACCGUUUGCGGCCACGUGUCCAGCGCGUCGAGCUCUACAUUUAUAUCAGAUUAAUUUCACCGGUUCGAUUUAGCUUGCGGAGCUUACUGGGUUUGAGUUGCUACGCGUGUGGGAGCGGUGAGAGUUAAGUUCGUAUAUAUAUGCAUUGGAAGUAAAAAGUGAGUAUUUGGAGGUUUAUUGGUGAUUGAGGCUUGGUUUGUGGCUGUUUCUUUGAGUUUGGAGGGCUGUGUUCUUGCUUGUGAGGCUUCUUUGGGUUGAAUAAAGUGAUCGGCCAAGAUGCAGGUUGAGAGGCUCCUCGCUAGGCGUCUGGAUCCUGGAAAGCGAAGUAGUCCUUGGGUGUAUUUUGGCUUCUGGUUGUAUAUAUGUAUAUAUAUGUUUAGCUUACUCUCCAAGUAACUUAUGUAUGCUGCUCCUCUUAGAGGUUGAGGGAGAGAUAGGAGUUAUUUUGAUAUUAUAAUGUAUUUUGGGAUAUUUUGAGAACACUUAUGUAUGUUUAUAUGUAUAUAUAUACCCUCUGGCCAGCCUUAGCUUCACAGGCUGAGUCAGGGGCUAGUUAUGCUGCU